GACGUAGGGCGCGAGCGUUUGUCCGGAUUUAUUGGGCGUAAAGAGCUCGUAGGUGGCCUGUCGCGUCGGACGUGUGAAAACUCCGGGGCUCAACUCCGAGCUUGCAGUCGAUACGGGCAGGCUAGAGUUCGGCAGGGGAGACUGGAAUUCCGUGGUGUAGCGGUGAAAUUCGUAGAUAUCGGGAGGAACACCGGUGGCGAAGGCGGCGACCUGGGUAGAUACGUGACGCUGAGGCGCGAAAGCGUGGGGAGCAAAGCAGG
rnacentral:rRNA from 1 species